CGCCGCGGGGCCGGAUCCUCCGCGCGGCCGAGUCCAUCUCCUGGGAAAUGGGGCGGACAGUGUUUCCUUGACCGACUAUUGUGAGCGCCCUCUCUCUCCGGCGGAGCGGAGACCAUGGCCCCCACUCAGGGCCCCCGGGCCCCGCUGGAAUUCGGAGGGCCCCUGGGUAAUGGGGCAGAGAGAGGGGACCUGGGGCAAAGGCUAAGCGAAGGAGAGCUGGAGCGGGUGAACUAAGAGCGGGGGCGAGAUCUGAGGAUGGAAGGCUUUGGGGGUGUCGGAGGCAGAGGGACCCGGGGGUUUGCAGCGAAGGGUGUCUGGAGAGGGAGAGCUGAGGAGGGGCCGGUUCUGGGGGCUGCAGAACGGGGAUUUAUGGUGUCGACUGGGAGCAGGAGGAGGGUCUUCGAGGGGCCUGGGGGCGGGGGACUAAGAUGGACGCCUGGGAAGGGAACUGGGAGGCAGCGGGGUGCCUGGGGGCCGAGGGCUGAGGACGGGGUGCGGAGGCGCACUCUGGGAAUGCCGAGAGGGUCCCGCAGAGACGUCAGGGCGCCCGUGCGGGCCGGCGGGGAGCUGGGGGGCUAGGGGCGGACGCCCGACGUGAUGGCCCUUCCCGCAGGCGCCGCGGCUCUGCUACUGCUGCUGCCCGCCACCAUGUUCCACCUGCUCCUGGCGGCCCGUUCGGGCCCCGCGCGCCUGCUGGGUCCACCCGCGUCCCUGCCCGGGCUGGAGGCGCUGUGGAGCCCACGGGCGCUGCUGCUGUGGCUCGCCUGGCUCGGCCUGCAGGCGGCGCUCUACCUACUGCCGGCGCGCAAGGUGCGGGCCCCGCUCGCGGACGCUCGGGGGAGGGAAGCGAAUGGGCUCGGCGAGGGAAAGGACGCCCUGGGCCUUAUCAGAGCCCCCUUGGACCCGCAGGUGGCCGAGGGGCAGGAAUUGAAGGACAAGAGUCGCCUGCGCUAUCCUAUUAACGGCUUCCAGGCCCUGGUGCUGACAGCCCUGUUGGUGGGGCUGGGGAUGUCAGCGGGGCUGCCUCUGGGGGCGCUCCCGGAAAUGCUCCUGCCCUUGGCGUUUGUCGCCACCCUCACCGCUUUCAUCUUCAGCCUCUUUCUCUACAUGAAGGCGCAGGUAGCCCCAGUUUCGGCCCUGGCACCUGGGGGGAACUCAGGUGAGAGGUGUCCUGGGGUGGAGAUGGAGGCAGAUUGGGGCGUCUGCCUGUACAUUCACUCUCCAAUGUUCUCCAGGCAAUCCGAUUUACGACUUUUUUCUGGGACGAGAGCUCAACCCUCGUAUCUGUUUCUUCGACUUCAAAUAUUUCUGUGAACUGCGACCCGGCCUCAUCGGCUGGGUCCUCAUCAACCUGGCCCUGUUGAUGAAGGAGGCAGAGCUUCAGGGCAGUCCCUCACUGGCCAUGUGGCUGGUCAAUGGCUUCCAGUUGCUCUACGUGGGUGAUGCCCUCUGGCACGAGGUGAGGCUGGACUGGACGAGGGUGGGUGUCUGAGGGCUGCAUAGGGACUAAGCCAGUGUGUCUGGGUCUUGUCCCUGCAGGAGGCCAUCCUCACCACCAUGGAUAUCACACAUGACGGGUUUGGCUUCAUGCUGGCGUUUGGGGACAUAGCCUGGGUGCCCUUCACCUACAGUCUGCAGGCCCAGUUCCUGCUGCACCACCCGCAGCCCCUGGGGUUGCCCAUGGCCUCUGUCAUCUGCCUCAUCAAUGCUAUUGGUUACUACAUCUUCCGUGGGGCGAAUUCCCAGAAAAACACUUUCCGAAAGAAUCCUUCUGACCCCAGAGUGGCUGGGCUUGAGACCAUCUCUACAGCCACAGGGCGGAAACUGCUGGUGUCUGGGUGGUGGGGUAUGGUCCGCCAUCCCAACUAUCUUGGAGACCUCAUCAUGGCUCUGGCUUGGUCCUUGCCCUGCGGGGUGUCACACCUGCUGCCCUACUUCUACCUCCUCUACUUCACCGCGCUGCUGGUGCACCGUGAGGCCCGGGAUGAGCGGCAGUGCCUGCAGAAGUACGGCCUGGCCUGGCAGGAGUACUGCCGGCGUGUGCCUUACCGCAUCAUGCCCUACAUCUACUGAAGCGGCUCCACCACCCCAGGUGGGGGCAUGUGCCCACUCAUCCACCAGCACACCCAGGACCAGGAGCCUCGACACACUUGGGACUCAAGGGCUUGCACCCCACCCAGCCCUGAGGAUGAACAACCUCAGAGAAGAGGUGGUUUAGAGCAAGGAAAAAAAUGAAACCAGUGACCAAAA
rnacentral:sRNA from 1 species